rnacentral:lncRNA from 1 species
AUUCUUGGCCUCAAACAAUCCUACUCGGGGCCGCUGUGGACGAGUCAAGGUUCCAAGGAAUGGCUGAGCUCAGCAGAUGACGUGGCUUUCAACGACACAGAAGCAGAAGACUAUGUCAGCAUCACCGACUUCCUAGAAUGUUCACUGGACGACAAUGA